rnacentral:rRNA from 1 species
GACGAACGCUGGCGGCGUGCCUAAUACAUGCAAGUCGAACGCACAUUCUAUCACCUUACUUUGCUACCCCUAAAGAAAAAGAGUCGCGAACGGGUGUGUAACACGUGUGUCAUCUCCGCAACAGCGGGGGAAAACACUUGGAAACAGGUUCUAAUACCACAUAAUUCAUUUUUCCGUAUUGAAUAUAUGUAAAAUGCUCUUUUAUCUCACCGAUCUAUCCACCCGCGGUGCAUUAGCUAGUUGGUGGGGUAACGGCCUACCAAGGCUGCGAUACAUAGCCGACCUGAGAGGGUGAUCGGCCACACUGGGACUGAGACACGGCCCAGACUCCUACGGGAGGCAGCAGUAGGGAAUCUUCGGCAAUGGACGAAAGUCUGACCGAGCAACGCCGCGUGAGUGAAGAAGGUUUUCGGAUCGUAAAACUCUGUUGUUAGAGAAGAACAAGGAUGAGAGUGGAAAGUUCACACCUUGACGGUAUCUAACCAGAAAGCCACGGCUAACUACGUG